AACGAACGCUGGCGGCGUGCCUAAUACAUGCAAGUCGAACGUUAGAUGUAGCAAUACAUCGAAAGUGGCGAACGGGUGAGUAACACGUAAGUAAUCUGCCUUUAAGAUUGGGAUAACCUUGCCAAACGCGGGGCUAAUACCGGAUGUGAUUAACAGAACGCAUGUUUUGUUAAUUAAAGGAGUGAUCCGCUUAAAGAUGAACUUGCGGCCCAUUAGUUAGUUGGCGGGGUAAUGGCCCACCAAGACCGCGAUGGGUAGCCGGCCUGAGAGGGUGUACGGCCACAUUGGGGACUGAGAUACGGCCCAGACUCCUACGGGAGCUG
rnacentral:rRNA from 1 species